GAAGCUGGCCUACAUGCUACCUGCCUGCGU
rnacentral:piRNA from 1 species